AUACAUUGGGUGCAUGUAUGCAAUUAUAAAAUGAUAGGUAAGAUAAUUUUAAAAGGAAAGGGAAUAGGGUUGGAAAGUAUUUAUAGAAGAUGAGUAUUUGAGUUGGACCUCUGAGGACCCGUGAGGGCAGGCAAUGGAAGGGGAGAUGUUGCUGGCAGGGAACACUUUGAGAGAAGCCCUAAAAGAGUCACUGAGGUGCAGAGGAAUCCUGGCCUAUCUGUGUAGCAGGCCACCUCUGGACUGAAGCCUGGAUUUCAGUGGGCAUCUGGAUGUCCUGUCUGGGAAUCUGGGCUCCAGUUCCCUCUCACAGCGAGCCCUCAAGGGAGCACUGAAGACCUUAACAGCCUCAGAGGAAGACCUGAGCCCACAGGAUCUUCUCAAGCCUGGCAGGCCCUGAGCUAAACAUCAAAAGGCAAACAGAACCUUCAGCGACCAUGGAGGACCCUGAGGAGUAGCUCUAGCUGCCAACCAAGUAUAAGAGACACCUGACAUUUCCAUACCACAAACACCGGACAGGAACAAAGAAACCAGCUACGCCAGGAUGUGACCUUCUCAGUCCCCUGCCUUCUCAGUCCCCCCCAAAGACGACACCCACAAAUAAGCAGGAAGCAGUCCUGAGAAUUCGCCACCCCAAUUCCUUUAACCUGU